rnacentral:rRNA from 1 species
GACGAACGCUGGCGGCGCGCCUAACACAUGCAAGUCGAACGGAGCUUAGAGAGCUUGCUUUUUAAGCUUAGUGGCGAACGGGUGAGUAACGCGUGAGUAACCUGCCCUGGAGUGGGGGACAACAGUUGGAAACGACUGCUAAUACCGCAUAAGCCCACGGUACCGCAUGGCACUGAGGGAAAAGGAUUUAUUCGCUUUAGGAUGGACUCGCGUCCAAUUAGCUAGUUGGUGAGGUAACGGCCCACCAAGGCGACGAUUGGUAGCCGGACUGAGAGGUUGAACGGCCACAUUGGGACUGAGACACGGCCCAGACUCCUACGGGAGGCAGCAGUGGGGGGAUAUUGCACAAUGGGGGAAACCCUGAUGCAGCGACGCCGCGUGGAGGAAGAAGGUUUUCGGAUUGUAAACUCCUGUCGUUAGGGACGAUAAUGACGGUACCUAACAAGAAAGCACCGGCUAACUACGUG